CAUGUACUACCUCCGUCCCAUAUUAAGUGACUCAAAUUUGUCCAGAUAUGAAUGUAUCUAUGCCUAAAAAGCGUCUAGAUACAUGUAAUAGAAAGUCACUUAAUAUGGGACGGAGGGAGUAUUAC
rnacentral:pre_miRNA from 1 species